rnacentral:lncRNA from 10 species
GAAAAGGCUUCAAUGAUCCUCAAACUGGAUGAUCGAAUCCCGAAUAAUUGGGAAUCAACAGUAAAGGCCAAAGCUUUCGAUGGAUUGGACGAGGCGCGUCCACCCUGGGGAGGGCCAUCAUUUUAUUCAGUCUACUGAUGCAAAUGCUUAUCUCUUCUGGAAACACCUUCACAGACAGACCCAGAAUAUAGUUGAACCAAAUACUGGGCACCUCAUGGCUCCAACAGGUUGACACAAAAAAUGAACCAUUGCAGAAAACGAAGA